rnacentral:rRNA from 1 species
GACGGAGGGUGCAAGCGUUGUUCGGAAUUACUGGGCGUAAAGGGCGCGUAGGCGGUCUGUUAAGUUCGGCGUGAAAGCCCCCGGCUCACCUGGGGAACUGCGCCGGAAACCGACAGACUCGAGUACCGGAGAGGAGGGUGGAAUUCCUGGUGUAGCGGUGAAAUGCGUAGAUAUCAGGAGGAACACCGGUGGCGAAGGCGGCCCUCUGGACGGAUACUGACGCUGAGGCGCGAAAGCGUGGGGAUCAAACAGG